GAUGAACGCUGGCGGCGUGCCUAAUACAUGCAAGUCGAGCGAACAGACGAGGAGCUUGCUCCUCUGACGUUAGCGGCGGACGGGUGAGUAACACGUGGAUAACCUACCUAUAAGACUGGGAUAACUUCGGGAAACCGGAGCUAAUACCGGAUAAUAUAUUGAACCGCAUGGUUCAAUAGUGAAAGACGGUUUUGCUGUCACUUAUAGAUGGAUCCGCGCCGCAUUAGCUAGUUGGUAAGGUAAAGGCUUAGCAAGGCGGCCAUGCGUAGCCGACCUGAGUGGGGGAUCGGCCACACUGGAACUGAGACACGGACCAGAGUCCUACGGGAGGCCGCAGUAGGGAAUCUUCCGCAAUGGGCGAAAGCCUGACGGAGCAACGCCGAGUGAGUGAUGAAGGUCUUCGGAUCGUAAAGCUCUGUUAUUAGGGAAGAACAAAUGUGUAAGUAACUAUGCACGUCUUGACGGUACCUAAUCAGAAAGCCACGGCUAACUACGUG
rnacentral:rRNA from 1 species